GAAAAGAACUUUGAAAAGAGAGUAAAAUAGUACGUGAAAUUGUUGAAAGGGAAACGAUUGAAGUCAGUCGUACUGGCGAAAAAUCAACUACUCGAGUGAGUACUUGUGGGCGUACGUGAGCUUCACGGCCGCGUUGUUUGCAAUGUUCGUGCUCUUGUGGUGUACUUUUUCGUGUGGUAGGUCAAUGUCGGUUUUGAACGCCAUAAAAUGAUCGGAGGAAUGUAGCUUCGACCUCGUUGAAGUGUUAUAGCCUUUGGUAGAUGUGGUGUUUGGGAUCGAGGAUUGCAACGGAUACCCUUUAGGGCUAGUCACCUGAUCUCUAAUUAGUGUUGGAUUACGGACAGCAUGCUGACCGUGAUUUAAUUAUUGGUUAAAAGGUUAGAGUGUACAUAAAUUUGUU
rnacentral:rRNA from 1 species